rnacentral:misc_RNA from 1 species
AGCAGCCGCGGUAAUUCCAGCUCCAAUAGCGUAUAUUAAAGUUGUUGCAGUUAAAAGCUCGUAGUUGAAUUUCGGGAUCAGUACGCCGGUCGUGCCUUCGGUAUGCACUGGUGUCACUGGUUUCUCCCUUCUGAAGAACCAUCAUGCCAUUAAGUUGGUGUGGCGGGAAAUCAGGACUGUUACUUUGAAAAAUUGAGUGUUUAAAGCAGGCUCGCGCUUGAAUACAUUAGCAUGGAAUAAUGAAAUAGGACGUUUGACCCUAUUUUGUUGGUUCUAGGAUCGACGUAAUGAUUAAUAGGGAUAGUUGGGGGCAUUAGUAUUCAAUUGUCAGAGGUGAAAUUCUUGGAUUUAUUGAAGACUAACUACUGCGAAAGCAUUUGCCAAGGAUGUUUCAUUAAUCAAGAACGAAGUUAGGGAAUCGAAGACGAUCAGAUACCGUCGUAGUCUUAACCAUAAACUAUGCCGACUAGGGAUCGGAUGAUGUUUAAUUUUUAAUGUACUCUAUUCGGUCCG